GUGGGGAAUAUUGGACAAUGGGCGCAAGCCUGAUCCAGCCAUGCCGCGUGAGUGAUGAAGGCCCUAGGGUUGUAAAGCUCUUUCACCGGUGAAGAUAAUGACGGUAACCGGAGAAGAAGCCCCGGCUAGCUUCGUGCCAGCAGCCGCGGUAAUACGAAGGGGGCUAGCGUUGUUCGGAAUUACUGGGCGUAAAGCGCACGUAGGCGGACAUUUAAGUCAGGGGUGAAAUCCCAGAGCUCAACUCUGGAACUGCCUUUGAUACUGGGUGUCUUGAGUAUGGAAGAGGUAAGUGGAAUUCCGAGUGUAGAGGUGAAAUUCGUAGAUAUUCGGAGGAACACCAGUGGCGAAGGCGGCUUACUGGUCCAUUACUGACGCUGAGGUGCGAAAGCGUGGGGAGCAAACAGGAUUAGAAACCCCAGUAGUCC
rnacentral:rRNA from 1 species